UACGUAGGGUGCAAGCGUUAAUCGGAAUUACUGGGCGUAAAGCGUGCGCAGGCGGUUAUGUAAGACAGAUGUGAAAUCCCCGGGCUCAACCUGGGAACUGCAUUUGUGACUGCAUAGCUAGAGUACGGUAGAGGGGGAUGGAAUUCCGCGUGUAGCAGUGAAAUGCGUAGAUAUGCGGAGGAACACCGAUGGCGAAGGCAAUCCCCUGGACCUGUACUGACGCUCAUGCACCGAAAGCGUGGGGAGCAAACAGG
rnacentral:rRNA from 1 species